GAUGAACGCUAGCUACAGGCUUAACACAUGCAAGUCGAGGGGCAGCAUGAUUGAAGCUUGCUUCAAUCGAUGGCGACCGGCGCACGGGUGAGUAACACGUAUCCAACCUGCCGAUAACUCGGGGUAGCCUUUCGAAAGAAAGAUUAAUACCCGAUAGUAUAGUAUUUCCGCAUGGUUUCACUAUUAAAGAACUUCGGUUAUCGAUGGGGAUGCGUUCCAUUAGAUAGUUGGCGGGGUAACGGCCCACCAAGUCAACGAUGGAUAGGGGUUCUGAGAGGAAGGUCCCCCACAUUGGAACUGAGACACGGUCCAAACUCCUACGGGAGGCAGCAGUGAGGAAUAUUGGUCAAUGGACGAGAGUCUGAACCAGCCAAGUAGCGUGAAGGAUGACUGCCCUAUGGGUUGUAAACUUCUUUUAUACGGGAAUAAAGUGGAGUAUGCAUACUCCUUUGUAUGUACCGUAUGAAUAAGGAUCGGCUAACUCCGUG
rnacentral:rRNA from 1 species